GACGAACGCUGGCGGCGUGCUUAACACAUGCAAGUCGAACGGACAGGCCCUGCUUUUGUGGGGUGCUCGAGUGGCGAACGGGUGAGUAACACGUGAGUAACCUGCCCUUGACUUUGGGAUAACUUCAGGAAACUGGGGCUAAUACCGGAUAGGAGCUCCUGCUGCAUGGUGGUGGUUGGUAAGUUUCGGCGGUUGGGGAUGGACUCGCAGCUUAUCAGCUUGUUUGUGGGGUAGUGGCUUACCAAGGCUUUGACGGGUAGCCGGCCUGGGAGGGUGACCGGCCACAUGGGGACUGAGAGACGGCCCAGACUCGUACGGGAGGCAGCAGGGGGGAAUAUGGCACAAUGGGCGGAAGCGUGAUGCAGCAACGCCGCGUGCGGGAUGACGGCCUACGAGUGGUAAACCGCUGUGGCCUGUGACGAAGCGUGAGUGACGGUAAUGGGUAAAGAAGCACCGGCUAACUACGUG
rnacentral:rRNA from 1 species